AUUUAAAAUAAAAGCUAUUAACCCAAUUCGUUAGGGUUUCAUUUGGCAAGCAGCCGUCGAACCACCAUUUUAUUUGGUGACCGACAGUUCUUAGGCAAUGGCCAGAUCUGGUACACGCCCACAGAGAUCCGGUACGGGGUGUGCGUGGCACGUGUACGGGGGCUGUGUGCUGGCGUACGGAGGCGUGGGCAUGAAUGCAAAAGCGCUAGAGCAUACGAAGGCAUGGUGGCCUGGUUGCGGCGUGAGGGGGAGAAACCCUAGGUUUCUGGUGUUUUAAUUUUUUGGGCCUAUCGAGCUUGUAUUUUUGGGUCUAGGUUUUAGGUAGUUGGGACAUUUAAUGGAUUGUUAAUAUUUGGAUUUUUUUGUUUAUUUAUUAUUUUGGUUUUGAUAUGGACCCGAAAAAAUUGGCUCAUUUACAAUUGUAUUAUUACCGGGUGAAGUAUGCAUCUUGAACCAGAAAAGGUGGCCAUGCAGCUUGAGACCAAUAGACAGAAGCAGAAACUUACUGAUGCUAUCCGAUUUUAACUCAUUUUGGUUA